rnacentral:rRNA from 1 species
UGAGGAAUCUUGCCCAAUGGGCGAAAGCCUGAGGCAGCGAUGCCGCGUGAGGGAUGACGGCCUUCGGGUUGUAAACCUCUUUCGACAGGGAAGAAGCCACGGGUCACCGUGGUGACGGUACCUGUAGAAGAAGCCCCGGCUAACUACGUGCCAGCAGCCGCGGUAAAACGUAGGGGGCGAGCGUUGCCCGGAUUCACUGGGCGUAAAGCGCGUGUAGGCGGUCCGUUAAGUCGGGUGUGAAAUCUCCGAGCUCAACUCGGAAACUGCACCCGAUACUGGCGGACUUGAGGACGGUAGAGGUCGGUGGAAUGACCAGUGUACCGGUGAAAUGGACAGAUAUUGGUCGGAACACCAGUGGCGAAGGCGGCCGACUGGGCCGAUCCUGACGCUGAGACGCGAAAGCCAGGGGAGCGAACCGGAUUAGAUACCCCCGUAGUCC